AGUGAACGCUGGCGGUAGGCCUAACACAUGCAGGUCGAACGGCAGCACAGUAAGAGCUUGCUCUUACGGGUGGCGAGUGGCGGACGGGUGAGGAAUACAUCGGAAUCUACUUUUUCGUGGGGGAUAACGUAGGGAAACUUACGCUAAUACCGCAUACGACCUACGGGCGAAAGCAGGGGAUCUUCGGACCUUGCGCGAUUGAAUGAGCCGAUGUCGGAUUAGCUAGUUGGCGGGGUAAAGGCCCACCAAGGCGACGAUCCGUAGCUGGUCUGAGAGGAUGAUCAGCCACACUGGGACUGAGACACGGUCCAGACUCCUCCGGGAGGCAGCAGUGGGGAAUAUUGGACAAUGGGCGCAAGCCUGAUCCAGCCAUACCGCGUGGGUGAAGAAGGCCUUCGGGUUGUAAAGCCCUUUUGUUGGGAAAGAAAAGCAGCAGGUUAAUACCCCGCUGUUCUGACGGUACCCAAAGAAUAAGCACCGGCUAACUUCGUGC
rnacentral:rRNA from 1 species